UACGAAGGGGGCUAGCGUUGCUCGGAAUCACUGGGCGUAAAGGGUGCGUAGGCGGGUCUUUAAGUCAGGGGUGAAAUCCUGGAGCUCAACUCCAGAACUGCCUUUGAUACUGAGGAUCUUGAGUUCGGGAGAGGUGAGUGGAACUGCGAGUGUAGAGGUGAAAUUCGUAGAUAUUCGCAAGAACACCAGUGGCGAAGGCGGCUCACUGGCCCGAUACUGACGCUGAGGUGCGAAAGCGUGGGAGCGAACGAGG
rnacentral:rRNA from 1 species